rnacentral:rRNA from 1 species
UACGUAGGUGACGAGCGUUGUCCGGAUUUACUGGGCGUAAAGAGCGCGCAGGCGGUCGUUCAAGUCGGGCGUGAAAUGCCGGGGCUCAACCCCGGGACUGCGUCCGAUACUUCCGAGCUGGAGGUAGGUAGGGGAGAUCGGAAUUCCUGGUGUAGCGGUGAAAUGCGCAGAUAUCAGGAGGAACACCGGUGGCGAAGGCGGAUCUCUGGGCCUUACCUGACGCUGAGGCGCGAAAGCUAGGGGAGCGAACAGG